rnacentral:rRNA from 1 species
UACGGGAGGCGCAGUGGGGAAUAUUGGACAAUGGGCGAAAGCCUGAUCCAGCAAUGCCGCGUGAGUGAUGAAGGCCUUAGGGUUGUAAAGCUCUUUUACCAGGGAUGAUAAUGACAGUACCUGGAGAAUAAGCUUCGGCUAACUCCGUGCCAGCAGCCGCGGUAAU